UGUUUGAAGAUGGGGGGACCAUCCUCCAAGGCUAAAUACUCCUGAUUGACCGAUAGUGAACCAGUACUGUGAAGGAAAGGCGAAAAGAACCCCAGUGAGGGGAGUGAAAUAGAACCUGAAACCGUGUACGUACAAGCAGUGGGAGCCCGAAAGGGUGACUGCGUACCUUUUGUAUAAUGGGUCAGCGACUUAUAUUUUGUAGCGAGGUUAACUGAAUAAGGGAGCCGAAGGGAAACCGAGUCUUAACUGGGCGGCUAGUUGCAAGGUAUAGACCCGAAACCCGGUGAUCUAGCCAUGGGCAGGUUGAAGGUUGGGUAACACUAACUGGAGGACCGAACCGACUAAUGUUGAAAAAUUAGCGGAUGACUUGUGGCUGGGGGUGAAAGGCCAAUCAAACCGGGAGAUAGCUGGUUCUCCCCGAAAUCUAUUUAGGUAGAGCCUUAUGUGAAUACCUUCGGGGGUAGAGCACUGUUUCGGCUAGGGGUCCAUCCCGGAUUACCAACCCGAUGCAAACUGCGAAUACCGAAGAGUAAUGCAUAGGAGACACAAGAGUAAUGCAUAGGAGACACACGGUGGGUGAAACAACCCAGACCGCCAGCUAAGGUCCCAAAGUCUAUAUUAAGUGGGAAACGAAGUGGGAAGGCUUAGACAGCUAGGAUGUUGGCUUAGAAGCAGCCACCAUUUAAAGAAAGCGUAAUAGCUCACUAGUCGAGUCGGCCUGCGCGGAAGAUGUAACGGGGCUAAAAUAUAGCACCGAAGCUGCGGCAUCAGGCGUAUCACAAAUACGCCUUACGAUUAACAACAUCGAAUGAAGUGAAACGGAAUAAGAUGUUGGUCAAGCACCCAACACGUUGAGUUGGCAUAAAGUGCGGAUAGAAAUCAGAGGAAUAUUUGUGAUACGCCUGUUGGGUAGGGGAGCGUUGUGUAAGUCGAUGAAGGUGUAUUGAGAAGUAUGCUGGAGAUAUCACAAGUGCGAAUGCUGACAUAAGUAACGAUAAAACGAGUGAAAAACUCGUUCGCCGGAAGACCAAGGGUUCCUGUCCAACGUUAAUCGGGGCAGGGUGAGUCGGCCCCUAAGGCGAGGCUGAAAAGCGUAGUCGAUGGGAAACGGGUUAAUAUUCCCGUACUUGGUAAAGCUGCGAUGUGGGGACGGAGAAGGUUAGGUUAGCAGACUGUUGGAUGUCUGUUUAAGUUGGUAGGUGGGGAGUUUAGGCAAAUCCGGACUUCCAUAACACUGAGAGAUGAUGACGAGUUUCUACGGAAAUGAAGUAACUGAUACCACGCUUCCAGGAAAAGCCACUAAGCGAAAGGCUUUACUAAACCGUACUGAAAACCGACACAGGUGGUCAGGUAGAGAAUACUCAGGCGCUUGAGAGAACUCGGGUGAAGGAACUAGGCAAAAUAGCACCGUAACUUCGGGAGAAGGUGCGCUGGCGUAGGUUGUAGGAGUAUACCUCCGAAGGCUGAACCAGUCGAAGAUACCAGCUGGCUGCAACUGUUUAUUAAAAACACAGCACUCUGCAAACACGAAAGUGGACGUAUAGGGUGUGAUGCCUGCCCGGUGCUGGAAGGUUAAUUGAUGGUGUUAUCGAAAGAGAAGCUCCUGAUCGAAGCCCCAGUAAACGGCGGCCGUAACUAUAACGGUCCUAAGGUAGCGAAAUUCCUUGUCGGGUAAGUUCCGACCUGCACGAAUGGCAUAAUGAUGGCCAGGCUGUCUCCACCCGAGACUCAGUGAAAUUGAAAUCGCCGUGAAGAUGCGGUGUACCCGCGGCUAGACGGAAAGACCCCGUGAACCUUUACUAUAGCUUGACACUGAACAUUGAAUUUUGAUGUGUAGGAUAGGUGGGAGCUUAAGAAGCAGUCACGCCAGUGAUUGUGGAGGCGUCCUUGAAAUACCACCCUUUAACGUUUGAUGUUCUAACGAAGAUUGCGAAACGCGGUCUCGGACAGUGUCUGGUGGGUAGUUUGACUGGGGCGGUCUCCUCCCAAAGCGUAACGGAGGAGCACGAAGGUUUGCUAAUCACGGUCGGACAUCGUGAGGUUAGUGCAAUGGUAUAAGCAAGCUUAACUGCGAGACAGACAAGUCGAGCAGGUGCGAAAGCAGGUCAUAGUGAUCCGGUGGUUCUGAAUGGAAGGGCCAUCGCUCAACGGAUAAAAGGUACUCCGGGGAUAACAGGCUGAUACC
rnacentral:rRNA from 1 species